GAUGAACGCUAGCUACAGGCUUAACACAUGCAAGUCGAGGGGAAACGGGGAAGCAGCUUGCUGCUUUCUGUCGUCGACCGGCGCACGGGUGAGUAACGCGUAUCCAACCUUCCCAUAACUAAGGAAUACCCCGUAGAAAUGCGGCCUAAUCCCUUAUGGUCUCUUAUGCCUGUCAUGGGAAUAAAAGUAAAGAUUUAUCGGUUAUGGAUGGGGAUGCGUCUGAUUAGCUUGCUGGCGGGGUAACGGCCCACCAGGGCAUCGAUCAGUAGGGGUUUGAGAGGAAGGUCCCCCACAUUGGAACUGAGACACGGUCCAAACUCCUACGGGAGGCAGCAGUGAGGAAUAUUGGUCAAUGGGCGCAAGCCUGAACCAGCCAAGUAGCGUGCAGGAUGACGGCCCUAUGGGUUGUAAACUGCUUUUUAAGGGGAAUAAAGAGGGACACGCGUGUCCUGUUGCAUGUACCCUUGGAAUAAGGACCGGCUAAUUCCGUGCCAGCAGCCGCGGUAAUACGGAAGGUCCAGGUGUUAUCCGGAUUUAUUGGGUUUAAAGGGAGCGUAGGCCGCAGGUUAAGUGUGUUGUGAAAAGCAGUCGCCCAACGUCUGCCUUGCAGCGCAAACUGUCCUGCUUGAGUGCGCACAACGCAGGCGGAAUUCGUCGUGUAGCGGUGAAAUGCUUAGAUAUGACGAAGAACUCCGAUUGCGAAGGCAGCUUGCGGGAGCGCAACUGACGCUGAAGCUCGAAGGUGCGGGUAUCGAACAGGAUUAGAUACCCUGGUAGUCCGCACGGUAAACGCUGGAUGCCCGUUUUUGGCUUAUUUUAAGUCAGAGACCAAGCGAAAGCAUUAAGCAUCCCACCUGGGGAGUACGCCGGCAACGGUGAAACUCACAGGAAUUGACGGGGGCCCGCACAAGCGGAGGAACAUGUGGUUUAAUUC
rnacentral:rRNA from 1 species